ensembl:misc_RNA Metazoa_SRP Metazoan signal recognition particle RNA
GUUGGGCGUGGUGGCGUGCGCCUGUAGUCCCAGCUUCUUGGGAGGCUGAGGCAGGAGAAUCGCUUGAACCCAGGAGGUGGAGGUUGCAGUGAGCUAAGAUGCACCACUGCACUCCACCCUGGGUGACACAGCGAGACUCCGUCUCAA